rnacentral:rRNA from 1 species
UGGGGAAUUUUGGACAAUGGACGCAAGUCUGAUCCAGCCAUGCCGCGUGCGGGAAGAAGGCCUUCGGGUUGUAAACCGCUUUUGUCAGGGAAGAAACGAGUUUCUCUAAUACAGAGACUUAAUGACGGUACCUGAAGAAUAAGCACCGGCUAACUACGUGCCAGCAGCCGCGGUAAUACGUAGGGUGCAAGCGUUAAUCGGAAUUACUGGGCGUAAAGCGUGCGCAGGCGGUUAUAUAAGACAGAUGUGAAAUCCCCGGGCUCAACCUGGGACCUGCAUUUGUGACUGUAUAGCUAGAGUACGGUAGGGGGGGAUGGAAUUCCGCGUGUAGCAGUGAAAUGCGUAGAUAUGCGGAGGAACACCGAUGGCGAAGGCAAUCCCCUGGACCUGUACUGACGCUCAUGCACGAAAGCGUGGGGAGCAAACA